GGGCGUCCCAGCGAAACAGAGAUAGAGAGUGAAAAAGAGAAAGAGAGUUCUCUUAGCUUGCUCUAUACACCACCUCCGGCGGUACGUUCAGCUCCACGCGACUUCACGAGUGAAACAUUUCGCGGGUUUCGCGGGGAGCUUUUCCGCAAGACUCGCUGGUGGGAGGUUGAAGGUGGUGGAGGAGCGAAGGAAGGACAACGGUAUUCCCGUUAAUUGAACGACUCUCUCGCGUGGGGAAGGAGGUACCUGGAAGGGAGACGCGACACUCACUACUCCGGAUCGAGAAGAGGGAGAAGGAUUACUCGCAGACCUAACCACCAGCUCAACCAGUUACCGCGGUUCAACUUUGCUGUUUUUCUUACCUAGUAGAUGCGACUCUAGAUAAGAGUUUUGACAAGUGCGCCUGCGACCGUCUAUGGGGUGCCGACUAAACGACGAGCCAUGGCUUGAGGAACUCAGGGAGAGGCACGUACGAGUUAGUAUUUUUAUUUCCAGAAAGCAGUGUGAUCAUUUGCAACAUAGCCACACUACGAACGUUACUAUGGAUAAAUAAAUUAAGAGUUGUAAAAUUCAUAGAAUGGACGAAGAGGAGACCAGAAAGUCGAUAGAUAUGCGAGAAGUGUUAUAAAUUUCCUGCGGAAACCUCUGAUUUUUAGUGGCAAUGAUUUUGCAGGGACAUGACAUCCGCCUACGCUAGGCUACCAUGUAAGGUGCGUUUAUUUUGGCGACCUUUACGACGCGAGUUUACGAUCGCCUGAAUGCUUUCGUGAACUUCGUAAUGAUUUUCGGAAGUUUGCGGAAAAAACAUCGAAGAGAAAAAAGUUUUUGGAUCGUUCGACUCUAUCAAGGAGGUUCCACGGGAGAAACAAUAAAAUUCACUGAAUUAUUAGCCGUUAUCGUGGACGGGAAUAGACAGCAGAAGUAAGAAACAGAUUCUUCUGAAAAAUGAAAUAGUAUAAAAAACGAAACAACAACAUUCAACUAACGUUGAGGAACGAUCGAAUAACCAAAGGGAACUAGAGAAAGAGAGAGAAAAGGGACGCGAAAAAGAGCGACGCGUAUCGUAGCUCACGGAAAAAGGAAUGGAAAGUUAAGAAAAGGCAAAGGUUCAACAGGGGUAAGUCCAACAAGAAUAUUGAAAGCCGGUCCUUCGAACGAGGCCAGCGAUCAAGAGAGCCAAUUAUUUCGAAGACCCACCACCACUACUCGUACCCACCCGCUUUCUUUCUCCUUUCUUCUUCACCCCCGCAUACGCGUACUCACGUCGAACAUAUUUUUCCUACGUACCUUACGCGAAUACUCGAAGCGCACUCAAGCCACCAAAGUACUCACAUACGAAUAGUAUAUUCGAACGCGCGUUCGUUCGUUCCGUUUCGUUUCGUUUCGUUUCGUUCGUUUAUUCGAAGAGUACCGUAUACAUAAUACUCUUCGUACGUAGAUAGGUACGUACGUAGAGGUACAUUAUGCGAAUCGAGCUUCAUACAUCGUUUCCGUUCUAAUAAAGCUAAGGGUACCUUCUCGCGACCACCCUCAUUUCUCAAUCUCUUUUUCUCUUUUUUCUUUGCUGCUGCAAACAUUUACUUUGUCAACAUUCGUCUAAAAAUAUCAUUAACUUUUUGCACUUCAAACGUAUUUAUUUGUUCAAUUAGAAAAUGUUUUUUAUUCAUUGAUGAACAAAUUAAAUAUUUUCUAUUUAUUGAUUAUUUAUUUUCCAUUAGGGAUACAAUUUUACAACGUCGAUAUCAAAUCGACGAUUAAUGGAAAAUAUAUCUAUACGCGUAUCUUUACUGUGCUUUGGUAGAUUUAAAAAACGAAGGACAUUGUGGCAUACUCUAAGUUAGAUUAUAUGAACCUACAGAGCAAUCUUAUGCAAUGGAGCUACUGAAAUCUUAAUUCAAGCAGGCGCGCUGUGCCAUUGAAUACGUUGACGGGGGUAGCGCCUUUCAAAAGCGUCGCUUACAAGCACGUUACACACACGGUUAGGUAAUUAUAUUUACCUUUUCAACUAUAUUAUUUACGUCUGCUAUAAAGGGGUAGAUCCUUAUGGUUCCUCUCAUUCUCUCAUUUUCUCUCUCCCUUCCUUUCUCUUUACUUCUUUUCUGUGUUGCACCUAGGAAUAAAAAAUCAAAUUCUUUUCUUUAAAAACUAGAAAGCCUAUAUAAUUUUUUAUAGAAAAAGUAAGCGACUUGAGUAAUCUCUCAACAAUUUAUAAAAUAAUCUUACUUUACAGAUCCAUUUUUGAAAAUUCAGUAUCUCGAAAAAUUUGUAUGUAACCAAUACCGAGUAAACAACUGCACAUUUUAAUAUGCAUUCAAAUGAGUUUUAUGACUGCGAAAACCUUGUCGAAAAAAUUGCAAUAAAAAGUUUUAGCAAUAUCGAUGCGUAAAUUCUUUUUUUUUUUUUGAAAAUGUAUGAGGACAAAUUAUACCAUGAAGUUGGGAUUAUAAUGAUGACAAACGCACAGUGUUGAUUAAUAAGGAAACGUUGAAAAAGGGUAGAUAAGUAUGCGUUAAUGAUAACUUUGGAAGAGGAAAAAAAGAGAAAGAACAUAUCUGGUCAUUUGAAUGACAUAGAAAAUUGUAGUUAUAGUAAUAAAUUUUUCGUAGAAGGAAAGAAAAGAUUCAUAUUACGCAAGAUAAAAUUUGAAGAUCCACUUGAACAUGAUGAUCAAGUAGAACUUUGUAGAAUCGCACACGAUCAUUUUGGCGUGUGGGAAAGGGCAAGAGAGUGUGGGAAGGUUAAACGGGAACGAGUUAGAGAAAGGAUACGAUUCUGCUUGUCUCUGGGACGGAAGUGACGUCGCAGUCACCGGCGGAAAUUCGUACUGGAAAUUCCGAUGGGUUCGAGAGGUUGUGGGAGAAAGGUAAAGGGAGGGCAACAAUCAGGGUAGACCCGGUAUUACGCUCCAUUCAUCCCCUACUGACACCCCUUACCACCCUCGAACCGUAUUUGGCUGACAAUUCUUCAUUUGCGUGCAGCAAACUCUCUACUGUGUGUGCCACGACCGUAGCGAAAGGUUUAAACCGCUGGUUGGUUCACGUUCGAAAGAGGCUACUGAUCCGUCUCUAUCACGUGAUUUUACCUUUAUUCCUCAUAAUCGUGAAAGUAACCUUUGUUCUUGGUUUAAACUUCGAAGAUGAUUAUUUAUUUACUUUUCUUAACUAUUCUUGACAAUUUAAUCUGUUAAGUCUGAUUACGUUAUGAAUCUCUUUUCGAUAAUUUAUAAUGACAAAUAGUCAAUAUUUAGAACAAUUUUUAAUUUAAUUGAAACCAUAGAUUUGUAUAUCAAAAUUAUGCAAAUGAUCAAACUUGAUCUGUCGAAUGAUCAUCAUUUCAAGCUACGAGAAUGGAAGUUUCCUUGUUAGACCAAACAGUUACCUAGUACGAGAUGUGGAUAGACUAAGCACUAUUCUUUCUCGAGCACUAUUCUUUCUAUUUCUUUCCUUACAAUCUUUUUGAUGGUUUGAACAAGAUGACAAUUGAACUUGUCGAAGACAUCGCUGGGAUAAGGUCAAACGGGCAUUUCGUAUCGCAUUGUACAAUGUAUGCAUCUACAUUGUCAAAAUGAUUGUACUUGACAAAAUGAUAAUUUUUAAUAAAUUUGAAUAGGGCAAAAAGGGCAUUAUCGUACUAUUCAUACUUUUACAGAUUAUAUGAAUGAUUUGGUAAAUUAACAAUUUAGUAAUAUCUACAUCAUGUUUUAUCCAAAGGAAUUUGAAGAAAUCAUAGAAAUCAGGAUAAUAAGGAGAGAUAGAGAAAAAGAGAGAAAGAAAGAGAAUCGUUUGUACAAGCAUUUCUUCGACUGUUAGGUGGUCCAAUUUGAGAAGGUGCUAUACCAUGAGAAAAAAAGGAAGCAGAAAGAGUAAGAGAAGUGCCGUACGUGAGGGCCAACGGUAAGAGGGGAAAAAGGCAAGAGGAGGAACGUCAAAUUGAUCCAUAUUAAUAAGAACGGAGAUUCGCGUUGCCGGACUUUUGCAUAAAUUUGAAUCGGCCCUCAUACAGCUCGCGGCAAGGGUUGCGAAUUUGAAUAAUCGAGAAUAAUUUCGAAGUUUUCUCGUGCAAACGCGAGGUAGCGUGCGCGCGUCCGCGACUACGGACGUGAUCAGCCGACGUUUCGAAAUAUUUCCUAGUGUAACGCUUUUCUCUCUUCUUCCAUCUCCUUCCCCCACUCCAACAUCAUCCACCACACUGCCAUCUCGUUCCGUCCGGUAGAUGUAGGUAAUUAACCGCAUGCACCAGCCAGAAUUGGAAAAAUACAGAACGCUUUAGAAAUCAGGCUGCGUUUUCGCUGUUUGUGGUUUUAAUAAAUUUUACGGACACCAG